rnacentral:lncRNA from 1 species
CCCAAUUAACUGAAUUUUAGAUAAACCACAAUAUUAAGUGAAGCUGCUUGUGGCCAACUUUGCUGGAUAUAUCCAUUUACAGUUGGAGAGAAUGAGGGUGAUCUAUAAAAGGAGCUGAGAUGAUCAACUGACGUUUAUCUACAAGGAUUUUUAUCAGGGUUGUUUGAAACCAGGGGUCAGCAAAAUUGUUUCGUGACCAGUCAAGUAGU